rnacentral:rRNA from 1 species
GACGAACGCUGGCGGCGUGCUUAACACAUGCAAGUCGAACGAUGAACCCGGAGCUUGCUCUGGGGGAUUAGUGGCGAACGGGUGAGUAACACGUGAGUAACCUGCCCUGGACUCUGGGAUAAGCGUUGGAAACGACGUCUAAUACCGGAUAGGACCUUGGAACGCAUGAUCUGGGGUGGAAAGUUUUUUCGGUCUGGGAUGGACUCGCGGCCUAUCAGCUUGUUGGUGAGGUAAUGGCUCACCAAGGCGUCGACGGGUAGCCGGCCUGAGAGGGUGACCGGCCACACUGGGACUGAGACACGGCCCAGACUCCGACGGGAGGCAGCAGUGGGGAAUAUUGCACAAUGGGCGAAAGCCUGAUGCAGCAACGCCGCGUGCGGGAUGACGGCCUUCGGGUUGUAAACCGAUUUUAGUAGGGAAGAAGGGCUUCGGCUUGACGGUACCUGCAGAAAAAGGACCGGCUAACUACGUG